GCGGAUGUAGCCAAGUGGAUCAAGGCAGUGCUUGUGAUCACCCCCUGGGCGCGGGAA
rnacentral:tRNA from 1 species